rnacentral:rRNA from 1 species
UGCGAAACUCGAAUGAACGAACGGGGAGAUUCAUCGUUAUUCGGGGGCGUGUCUGUGCACCUGUCUCGAUGUCGCGCGUCUUUUUGCCGCGCGGUACGGGGUGUGCGGUACGACGUCCUCCGACGGCGUGCACUUCUCCCUUAGUAAUACAUCGCGACCCGUUCGAUGUCGGUCUAAGCUCCGUUCGGGAGUCUCUGUCGCACACCUCUCGGGGUUGCGGCGGCGACCGUGACGGUUGCCGACCGGCUGUCGGACGGUAUAACAACGGAUCGCGUACGCGUUUAUGCGCGUCCGGCCCGACGCAAGGUUGCGCCUCCACUUCCGUCCUGCCCGAGUGCGGGCGGGGGUGCGGCGCGCCUGUCGUCGCAGCCGUGCUGUCUCGGACUGUGCGCGCACCGUGUCUGC